AUGAUGUGCAGGGUGUAUUCCCAGUCACUCUCAGAUACUCCCAGUAUUAGUCCAUUCCCUCCCAGUAUGAUCCAAAGAUGAGCCCAGUGUGCUCCCAGUCCCUUCCAGUAUGACCCGGUUGUGCUCCACAUGGUUCCAGUUGCUCUCUUUGACCCUCACUUUUGUUCCCAGUAUCUCCCAGUAUAGCCCAGUUCCCUCCAGCAUGUUCCCAGUCAGUCCCAGUUCCUUCCAGUAUGAUCCCAUUUGGUCAGAACCACUCCCAGCCACCCUCAGUGUAGUGGCACUCAGUGCCAGUAUGAUCCCAGUCAGCUCCAGCAUGAUCCCAGCUGAUCCCAGUAUAAGCCCAGUUGUUUCCAGUCACCCCCAGCAUGCAGCCCAUCGUCCCCAGUUGGGUUUUUUUGGGGGCAGGAUGUUUGGAGGAUGAAGAAGUCCAAGGCUGAGUGGAAAAGGCCCCUUGGGGGGACAUCGGGGGUGGCGGUGGCGGCUGGCGGCAGAGGGAGCCUGGAGGAGCAGAGCCCUGUGUCCCCCAGGAGCCCAAAGUGGGGAGCCCAGAGAGGGGGGAGUGCUGCCAUUGGCGGUACACUGAGAGCCUGGAGAGGGGCAGGGGGGGACUCCUUAGAGCCCCUGCAGCCCCGAGCAGAGAGUGAGGGGAGAAGGGAGCCCGGGAGCCCAAAGAGCCCCGGCAUCCCGAAAUGGGGAGAGCGGAGAGCUUUUGGGAUUGCUGGGGCUGCCAGCAGCCUGGGGAGGGCGGGCACUGAGGAGAAGGGGUGGACCCCCAAUCCAAGCAUGACCGCCAGCAACUGGGACAGGGGGGGAAACCCUGAACACCAGAGGGAAGGGAUGAGGGAGUGUGGGGAAUGUGGGAAAAGCUUCAGCCAGCAUUCCGUCCUGACGUGCCACCAAAAGAUCCACACUGGGGAGAGGCCCUACGAGUGUGACAAAUGCAGGAAGAGGUUUAGGAUCAGCUCCCAUCUCCUCCAGCAGUAUCGGAUUCACACAGAAGAGAGGCCCUUCUGCUGCCCCGACUGUGGGAAGGGAUUCAAGCAAAACUCUACCCUCAUCAGGCACCGGCGCAUCCACACCGGGGAGAGGCCCUACGAGUGUCCCCAGUGUGGGAAGAGCUUCUCAGACAGAUCUAUCUUGACCCGACACCAACGGAGGCACCGCUGCAGCCUCCCUGGACACCAUGAACUCUGGAGAAUGGGGGCAGCCAGUGAGGACAGGUCCUGGAUUGCAAGAUAAGUGUGUGUUGUGUUUGCCACCUGUCAGAGUGGCAAACACAUUAUCUGCUGUUAAUGGGCCAAUAAUUAAUAAUUAUCUUCAGGUAAUGGGCCAUUGAGUGUCACUGUCUGGCUAAUAAAAUGACAUCCCAUUAGGAGAUGCUCCACCCAGGGGGAGGAGCCAAGCAUUCCUACCUGGAUAGAAUCUCAGGUUUGGAACUCCAGAAGCAGUGUUUUCCCACUGGAUUCCCAGAGGAUCAGCCCUUUUCCCUCUGGAUUCCCAGAGGAUUCUGACUCUGUCACUGUUUUUUUAAAAUUUGUACUUUUGCAUUUGUAUUUUCAAUUUUUCCUAAUAAAAAACUGGUAUUUCUACUCCCAUAUCUUUGCCUGUGAGCCCCUAAUUUCAAAAUUUAUUAUUAUUAUUGUUAUUAUAAUUUUUGUUGUUAUUAUUAUUUUUAUUAUUAGUAGUAUUCAGAGGGAGUGGGUUUACAUUUUCCUUUCCAUGGGAGGCUCCUGAAAUGGGGAGACACCCCAAGGUGGGGCCAUGUAAAAUAAUCCCUGAAAUAUGUAAAUUAGGUUAUUGAUUUGCAUGAGAGUCUAUGAAUAUGCAACAGGCUGAUGUAAUUAAAACCAGAUUAAUUAAGGGGUGUCCCCGAAGAUAACGGGGCUGUCUUGGUGGCCAUAAUAAACUUUGCUCCAUGGUCCUUGUCUCCUCUUACAUCAGCCUGUUGGAUAUUCAUAGAGUCUUUUGCAUGUCAAUAAACCACUUUACAUACUGCAGGAACAAAAUUGGCUUCUUCCUGUUUGGUGGUCCCAGUCCCCUCCCAGCUCAAUUUCGGGGUCCCAUCCCCCUCCUUCCUGCCCUCUCCCACCCCUUCCCCAUCGUUCCCCCAAUCCCCUCCCCCUGUUUGGUUUUGGGGGUCCCAGGCCCCUCCUGCUCCUUUUUGGUGUGCCGACGCCGCUUUGUUUUAAUUUGGGGUCCCCUCCGCAUCCCCAGGGUCACCCCCCUACAAAUUCCAAUCCUGGCAACUGAUGAGUCAUCAGCAAUAAAUGCUCUGAUUAGCUGGAAAUUAUCCCUCGCUGUCUCUGAUUGGUUAGCGCUGUGUGGUGCUGGGCUCUGCCCGGCAACUGAUGAGUCAGAGUCCCGGAGGCCGAUGAUUGGCUGAAAAUCGCUGAGCGGGGCCAGUGCUCCUAGUUUUUGCCCAGCAAUUGUGUUGUCAUCAGCGCUUCGCACUCUGAUUGGCCAAGGUCUGUUUUCGGGUGGGGACGAGAGGAACGGGUUUUUGGGGUUUUUUUGGGUUUAUUUAGGGAUUAUUUGGGGAUUAUUUGAGGUUCAUUUGGGGGUUUUGGGGGGUUUAUUUGGUAUUAUUUGGGUUUAUAUUUGUUUUUUUGGAGUUCCUUAGGGUUUAUAUGGAUUUAUUUGGUGUUUAUUUAGGUGUACUUUGGGUGUUUGGAGGGGUUUUGGGUGUUAGUUUGGAGUUUAUUCGGGUUUAUUUGGGGUUUAUUUAGAGAUUAUUUGGGUCCGUUUGGGUUUAUUUAGGGUUCAUUUAAGGAUUAUUUUGGUUUGUUUGUGUUUUUAGGUAUUCCUUGGGGGGUUUUUUUGGGUUAUUUGGGCUUUAUUUGGAGUCAAAAAAUCCGUGAAGGUUCUCUCAAAAAACACGGGAUGGUUCCCCAAAAAACCAGAAAUAUGUCCCCUCCAAGAAACGGGAAUUUUUCCAAAAAAAUCUGUGUAUUUUCCUUCCUAAAACCGGGAAUGUUCCUCUCAAAAUCCCGGACUUUUCCCCGACAAUAGGGACGAGCCCCGCCCCAUACCAUCCAAUCGCCGCGCUCCAUCUCCCAAAUUAACCAAUGACGGCACAGCCCGCUCCAAACCAUCCAAUCACCGCGCGGUUCCCCUCAGCAACUCCCGCCUUCCCCGUCCCGCUCCCGUUCCACCGCUCGGUGCCGCCCCUGAUCCAGGACGGGCCCCAGUGUGGCCUGGUGGCCCUGGCCAUGGUGGGGGCGCUGCUGGGACCCCCCCGGGCCACAGUUGGGUCUGGAGGCUCUGCUGGAGCGCGGGCCAGGGGCUGCACCCGCCACAGGGAGA